UACGGAGGAUGCAAGCGUUAUCCGGAAUGAUUGGGCGUAAAGCGUCCGCAGGUGGCAAUGUAAGUCUGCUGUUAAAGAGUCUAGCUCAACUAGAUAAAAGCAGUGGAAACUACAUAGCUAGAGUACGUUCGGGGCAGAGGGAAUUCCUGGUGUAGCGGUGAAAUGCGUAGAGAUCAGGAAGAACACCAGUGGCGAAGGCGUUCUGCUAGGCCGUAACUGACACUGAGGGACGAAAGCUAGGGGAGCGAAUGGG
rnacentral:rRNA from 1 species